UUAGAGUUUGAUCCUGGCUCAGGAUGAACGCUAGCGGCAGGCUUAACACAUGCAAGUCGAGGGGCAGCGAGAUCAGUGCUUGCACUGAUUGUCGGCGACCGGCGCACGGGUGCGUAACGCGUAUGCAACCUACCCAUUACAGGGGGGAUAACACUGAGAAAUCGGUACUAAUACCCCAUAACAUCCAGGGAGGCAUCUUCUUGGGUUGAAAACUCCGGUGGUAAUGGAUGGGCAUGCGUUGUAUUAGUUAGUUGGUGGGGUAACGGCUCACCAAGACAACGAUACAUAGGGGGACUGAGAGGUUAACCCCCCACAUUGGUACUGAGACACGGACCAAACUCCUACGGGAGGCAGCAGUGAGGAAUAUUGGUCAAUGGACGCAAGUCUGAACCAGCCAUGCCGCGUGCAGGAAGACGGCUCUAUGAGUUGUAAACUGCUUUUGUACGAGGGUAAACGCAGAUACGCGUAUCUGUCUGAAAGUAUCGUACGAAUAAGGAUCGGCUAACUCCGUGCCAGCAGCCGCGGUAAUACGGAGGAUUCAAGCGUUAUCCGGAUUUAUUGGGUUUAAAGGGUGCGUAGGCGGUCGGAUAAGUUAGAGGUGAAAUCCCGGGGCUCAACUUCGGAAUUGCCUCUGAUACUGUUCGGCUAGAGAGUAGUUGCGGUAGGCGGAAUGUAUGGUGUAGCGGUGAAAUGCUUAGAGAUCAUACAGAACACCGAUUGCGAAGGCAGCUUACCAAGCUACUUCUGACGUUGAGGCACGAAAGCGUGGGGAGCAAACAGGAUUAGAUACCCUGGUAGUCCACGCAGUAAACGAUGAUAACUCGUUGUCGGCGAUACAGUGUCGGUGACUAAGCGAAAGCGAUAAGUUAUCCACCUGGGGAGUACGUUCGCAAGAAUGAAACUCAAAGGAAUUGACGGGGGCCCGCACAAGCGGAGGAACAUGUGGUUUAAUUCGAUGAUACGCGAGGAACCUUACCCGGGCUUGAAAGUUAGUGACGGAUCUUGAAAGAGGUCUUCCCUUCGGGGCACGAAACUAGGUGCUGCAUGGUUGUCGUCAGCUCGUGCCGUGAGGUGUCGGGUUAAGUCCCAUAACGAGCGCAACCCCUACCGUUAGUUGCCAGCAGGUCAAGCUGGGCACUCUGACGGGACUGCCGGUGUAAGCCGAGAGGAAGGUGGGGAUGACGUCAAAUCAGCACGGCCCUUACGUCCGGGGCUACACACGUGUUACAAUGGCAGGUACAGAGGGCAGCUACCCAGCGAUGGGAUGCGAAUCUCGAAAGCCUGUCUCAGUUCGGAUUGGAGGCUGAAACCCGCCUCCAUGAAGUUGGAUUCGCUAGUAAUCGCGCAUCAGCCAUGGCGCGGUGAAUACGUUCCCGGGCCUUGCACACAACGCCCGUCA
rnacentral:rRNA from 1 species